UACGUAGGUGACAAGCGUUGUCCGGAUUUACUGGGCGUAAAGAGCGCGCAGGCGGUCGAUCAAGUCGAGUGUGAAAGCCCCCGGCUCAACUGGGGAGGGUCAUUCGAUACUGAUCGACUCGAAGGCAGGAGAGGGUAGUGGAAUUCCCGGUGUAGUGGUGAAAUGCGUAGAGAUCAUGAGGAAGACCAGUGGCGAAGGCGGGUCUCUGGACAGUUCCUGACACUGAGACACGAAGGCCAGGGGAGCAAACGGG
rnacentral:rRNA from 1 species